UGACUUCAACAGGUAAAGAAUGUUUCCAUCAGAUGUUAUUUUGCUCUGUCUCCUGAUGAAGUGUUGUCACCUCUCUCUUUUCUCUUCAGUCAUCGCUCUGAAAACUCGAGUGAAGUGAGCAUCGAUGAGGAGAUUGAGGAGGUGUCGAUAGAGGGGCCUGACAUCAGCCAUAAGCUUGAUGAAACCACUCAGGAUGUGAGCGUUUCACAGAAAAGUUUGGGUGCAGACUACAUUGAAGAUGUUGCUUGACACCUAUUUGUUGGUUCCUUAUUUUAUACUUUAUGUACUUAUGGAUUUAGUUGACAAUAAAUUAUUAAUUACAGCCUGACUGUUGACCCUUCCUGUUUUUCUUUGCCUUUUUUUUUUUUUUUUUUUUUUAUAAACGCACGGACAGAAAUGAAAGGAUAGCAAAUUCUCUGCCCUACCCAGGUUGUCUUUCCUCAUUAAAAACAAGAAGGAACAGAAACCUCUCACUGCUUUCCAUUAGAUUUGUUUGUGCUGAUACUGGUAAGUCGCUUCUUUUUUUCCACUUCAGUCACAUGUUAAAUUUUUAAGUGGAAAUGUAAGUCUGUGCCAGUUUCUGUUCAUAUGUAUGUAUU